rnacentral:rRNA from 1 species
GACGAACGCUGGCGGCGUGCUUAACACAUGCAAGUCGAACGGAAAGGCCCUGCUUUUGUGGGGUGCUCGAGUGGCGAACGGGUGAGUAACACGUGAGUAACCUGCCCUUGACUUUGGGAUAACUUCAGGAAACUGGGGCUAACACCGGGUAGGAGCUCCUGCUGCAUGGUGGGGGUUGGAAAGUUUCGGCGGUUGGGGAUGGACUCGCGGCUUAUCAGCUUGUUGGUGGGGUAGUGGCUUACCAAGGCUUUGACGGGUAGCCGGCCUGAGAGGGUGACCGGCCACAUUGGGACUGAGAUACGGCCCAGACUCCUACGGGAGGCAGCAGUGGGGAAUAUUGCACAAUGGGCGGAAGCCUGAUGCAGCAACGCCGCGUGCGGGAUGACGGCCUUCGGGUUGUAAACCGCUUUCGCCUGUGACGAAGCGUGAGUGACGGUAAUGGGUAAAGAAGCACCGGCUAACUACGUG